GGUGCAUCAGCCCGACCCCCGGGGCUGAAGCACGACGACCUCCGCCUCCUCCCCCCCUGGCGGGGGUCGUCCCUU
rfam:Mycobacterium kansasii 824 gmk824.contig.0, whole genome shotgun sequence.